GCCCGCGCGCUGUAUUUGAACAGCAAUUAAAUUUGAAUUAUUACCAAAAGCCUACAAGCUUCCGCGUUUUUGGCUUCGAAUUGCGAAACCUAUCCAAAAACAUUUUAUUUGUGCGUUAUACAUCACAAUUGGUUUCUUUGAUGCCAUUCUUAUUAAUGACGGGGUUUGAUUUAUGAGCUCGGAAAACAUGGCUCGAGC
rnacentral:lncRNA from 1 species